rnacentral:lncRNA from 1 species
GGCGCCAAAAACUUGUUGACUCUCUGGAAAGCGUACCAAAUCGUUUCAAGUAAUAUAAUUGGUAAAACCCAAUAUCGUUCUUCCCAGUAGACUCGAAGGCCUUAUCGUUCGUGCAAAUUGAAAUCGUAAGACUUGUAGAGAAAAUUAAUUGGUGGGAAUGCAAAUACACAAAAUAAACAUGCAAAUGCGGUUGAUUCAAUUGACGAGAAAAAGACUUUGGAUGAAUGGAGUUGUUGGGGGUUUACAAUUUCAUCUUAUACGCUCUCUCUUAUCUACUCCUCUUCUUUAAUUUGCUUUGUUAUGUAAUUGUCAUGCAAACUUUCUUAGUCUACCCUUAACCCGAUCGCUCGGCGAAAAGAGCCUAUUACUAAUUACUGGCUUGCUAUCCCUANNN